GGUAGCAAAAUAAUUAGUCUUUUGAUUGGGGACUGGAAUGAAUGAUUGGACGAGAAAAUAGCUGUCUUUUAAUUGAAAUUAAUAUUGAUGUGAGGAGGCAUAAGGGACGAUAAGACCCUAUUAAGUUUAAUUAUUUUGCUGGGGCGGUAAUGAUGAUUAUAGGUUUAAAUUACUGUAGGGAUAACAGCGUGAAAUUUUUGGAGAGAUCAUAUUGAUAAAAAGUUUUGCGACCUCGAUG
rnacentral:rRNA from 1 species